UGCCAGCAGCUGAAUGCUAAGACAAAGAAUAGAAUAGAAUAGAAUAGAAUAGAAUAGAAUAGAAUAGAAUAGAAUAGAAUAGAAUAGAAUAGAAUAGAAUAGAAUAGAAUAGAAUAGAAUAGAAUAGAAUAGAAUAGAAUAGAAUAGAAUAGAAUAGAAUAGAAUAGAGCUAUUUCAGUUGGAAUGGACCAAUGAUGAUCAUCCAGUCCAAGUGCCUGACCACCACAGGGCUGACCAGAAGUUACAGCAUGUUUGUUCAGGGCAUUGUCUAAAUGCCUCUUUAAACACUGACAGCCUGGGGGCAUCAGCCACUUCUCAAGGAAUCCCAGUUUUUGACCACCCUCCUAGUAAAGAAAUAUCUUGUAAUUUCAAGAGUGAAAUUCUUCUGGAGCAGCUUUGAACCAUUCCCAUGCACCUCAUCUCUGGAUCCCAGGGAGAAGGGAUCAGCCCCUCCCUCUCCACUUCCCUUGCUCAGGGAGCUGCAGAGAGAAAUGAGUUCACUCUUCAGCCUCGUAUUCUCCAAACUGGAAAAGCCCAAAAUCCCCAGCUGUUCUUUACAGGACAUUCCAGCCCUUUCACCAGCUUUGUUGCCCUCCUCUGGAUGCUUUCAAGUACCUUAACCACAUUCUUAAAUUCUGGGGCCCAGAACAGCACAUGGUUCUCAAAGUGAGGCUGCACCAAUGAUAAAUAGAGCAGGAUAGUCCUCUCUGUUGAGUCAUGGAUUGCUUGUUGGGGAGAGGCUGAGGUGCUGCCAUUCCCUCCGGGUUCCAAGAUGAAGAUAUUAGAGAGGAGCAUCAUCUCUGAAAAAUCAGGUGGGAAUGUCUAUUUGUAUGCAUCUGUGACAGCAAAUACCCUUCUGACACUUUGCAACAGCAAGAAAAGCCACAGCCACAGAAAUGAGGAACACAAAAGAAUUCAUUGCCUGGGACUCCUUGAUUUACUGCCUCAGAACAGAUUUUCCUAUAGGCUGUUUAUAGUAUUCAAAUGGCACACACAAGCCUUUGUGCUUCAAGUCUUUAAGAAACUACUUAUGUUCGUUUUACACAUUGUCUGGGAACUAUUUAAAGUUACUAAUAAGGGUGUUAGCCACUACCAUGCUGAAGUUUUAGUCACAAACACUGGCAAGUCCUGGCCAAAAAGGUCCUGGACUGUUCUUGAGCAAUAAGUGGAAGCGCAACAAGAAAAGUGUUGCAACAGCUGUACAUGGCAGUGUUUCCACAUCCCCUUUUGACUCUAGACUCUAACUUGCUGAGGGUCAAAGUGAAUACUCCAUUUGAAGUUCAAAACUGUUUUUACCCUCAGAGCAGAGAACAAGACUCUUGAUUCUUGUCCUCUUGUCCUCUUUUACCUUCCUCGACCGUAGUGAGUUGCAGGUUGCCUGAUGGUGCCAUGGAGGCCCAACUCACCCAAGCCCUUUUCUGCCACUGCUGAGGAUCAGUCCUUUCCAUUCCCAGAUUCUGACUGAGACAUUACAGUCUUGAGAGGAUCAAGAUAUUUGGUGUGACCAAGUUCCUGGAUGCAGUGUGUGCGAAAUGUGACGGUCUGUGAUUGCCAAGCCAGACACAGCAGUGAUGUUGGAAGUUGCCACAUUCAUGAGGGCUCGUGGCUUGAAGAAGUCAAACUUUCUAAACCCAUGAGGUGCUUAGUGAGAUUUUCACCCAGUGCAGAGCUGCAGCCCAGCCCACCUCCCCCAGCAGGGUUCACAGCUCACGGGUAGGAGACAAAUGCAUGCCCAGGGUUCUUCCACUCCAUUCCAGGAGUGCAUGUCCUGCAUGACCACGGCAAGGCAGCAGCAGAAUGGUUUCAUCCUCAGGUAGGGAUUGGAUCACCAACACCCCAUCCACCAGCACAACCCACAAGGGGGGUACGUGGGAUGAUCCUGGUGUAGGAGCCACACCCAAACACAAGCUGUGUGUGGCAACACAAGACCCACUUCUGCCUGAAAAUCCCAGCAUUGCUCAGGGAUGGAACAAUCUCUGCACGGAGGAAACUUGCUGUCCUCUUCUCCAGCAACAGCCAAGGCCAUGGAUGAGGGGGAGCCACAGAGAGAGAGGGAGAAGGAAAGGAUUCAGCAGAAUAUUGUUUCUUGAUUCCUCUCCUGCAAUUAAGGAAGGGUUGUGUUUUUCACUUUCACGUGCCUCAACUCCCACCAGCUGCAUGCACCCACCCACAGCAUGUGUGCUGUGUUUUUAUUACGGCUGUAGCCUCAGGUAGCGUGGAAUUGGGGCCAAGCAUACAUUAGUAAAAUUAGAAGAAAUAUCAUCUGACGGGUCUGGACGGUGCUGUGGGCAGAGCAUAUUUGGCAAGACUGCUUCCUUCGCAAUCCAGCCCAGAGACAUUCCCUGAUCCUAUCUGAACGAGGACUGAAUUUGCAAAACGAGUCCCAGCUUGUGAGCUGUGAGUCAGGGAUGUCUUAAACACUGCCUCAGCAUCCAACACCAACAAGCUCUUUUUAUCUUGUUCGUCCUGCUUAAAUAACUGCAGCAAGGCCUCAUGUUAACAGGGCAGCACCGAGGGCCAGAAGGCUGGGCUUUUUUCACACCCUCCAGCACUUGCCCCUUGUGUGUCUGGCCCAUUUUGACCCAUUCUUGUCCUUUUCUCUGGUUCAGCUAAUGGGACUCAGCUGCACUGCUCACAGACAGUGGUUUGAAAUCUGCUCCAUAUGGCCACAUUCAUGUCCCUCACUGCUGAGCCAUAAGGAUUCACUUCAGUGGGUUCCUCUGUGCAUCAGCCUUUGAAGGAUGUGUGUGCUUAAAAUCAAAUAUACUUCCCAACUUCUUUCGAGUACCUUCCUAGUAAAUAAAGCCUCCUUCAUGACUCAAGGGAUUUCAUAAAUUGUCUGCCAGGACAGGCCAGGACAAGCAGGAAUCUGUGGAAUACCCUGUGUUUACAUCCUAAGAUGACAUACCUCCAUCAUAUCUGAGAAAACUUCAUUAGAAAUGUUGGAUUUGGGAACCAUUUGCUGGAAAAUGGUGGUGAAAAACAUCAGGUUAAAGGAAGGCAGGACUUACACUGAUCUAUUCCAAAAAAUCCCACCUGGUACUGAUAUCACAGUGGCUCAAACUGUCCUUGCCCAAGUUUCAGUGAGACUGCACAUGUGAAGGCAGUUUAGAUUAAUGAUUGCAAAGGUGCAUUCACCUUGUGUCUAGAAGAUGGAAAGAGAAAAUAUUAUUUAGUUGUGAAGCAAAGAAAUUUAGGACAGAAGUUUGUAGUAACAGAGAAUAAAAGCAAAGUGCUUUAUUCAAACACAGAGCAAUGGAGACAAAAGGCUGAUUCAAAAGGACUUCAUGGGAUGUGCCUGAUGACUUCAUAACCUUGAUUUUUCUUACUUCAAAAACAGACACAUCACAGGGAAUAAAUGAGUCCUGGGUGGCUAUAAACAAAUUGCAGCACUUUGUGGAAGAGAGAGGGUCAUACCCUCAUGUACCAAGGAUGUACCAAGAUUUACCAUUCUCUCAUGUACCAAGAAAGACACGUUCAAAUCCAAAUUUCUCAGAAGGGAUGAGAAGGAUCAGAUUGGAAAGAAAAUAAAGGCAGCUUGAAACUGG